rnacentral:rRNA from 1 species
GAUGAACGCUGGCGGCGUGCCUAAUACAUGCAAGUCGAGCGAACGGACGAGAAGCUUGCUUCUCUGAUGUUAGCGGCGGACGGGUGAGUAACACGUGGAUAACCUACCUAUAAGACUGGGAUAACUUCGGGAAACCGGAGCUAAUACCGGAUAAUAUUUUGAACCGCAUGGUUCAAAAGUGAAAGACGGUCUUGCUGUCACUUAUAGAUGGAUCCGCGCUACAUUAGCUAGUUGGUAAGGUAACGGCUUACCAAGGCAACGAUGCAUAGCCGACCUGAGAGGGUGAUAGGCCACACUGGAAGUGGGACACGGUCCAGACUCCUACGGGACGCAGCAGUAGGGAAUCUUACGCAAUGGGCGAAAGCCUGACGGAGCAACGCCGCGUGAGUGAUGAAGGUCUUCGGAUCGUAAAACUCUGUUAUUAGGGAAGAACAUAUGUGUAAGUAACUGUGCACAUCUUGACGGUACCUAAUCAGAAAGCCACGGCUAACUACGUG